rnacentral:rRNA from 1 species
AGUGAACGCUGGCGGUAGGCCUAACACAUGCAAGUCGAACGGCAACACAGGAGAGCUUGCUCUCUGGGUGGCGAGUGGCGGACGGGUGAGGAAUACAUCGGAAUCUACUCUGUCGGGGGGGAUAACGUAGGGAAACUUACGCUAAUACCGCAUACGACCUACGGGUGAAAGCAGGGGACCUUCGGGCCUUGCGCGAUUGAAUGAGCCGGUGUCGGAUUAGCUAGUUGGCGGGGUAAAGGCCCACCAAGGCGACGAUCCGUAGCUGGUCUGAGAGGAUGAUCAGCCACACUGGAACUGAGACACGGUCCAGACUCCUACGGGAGGCAGCAGUGGGGAAUAUUGGACAAUGGGCGCAAGCCUGAUCCAGCCAUACCGCGUGGGUGAAGAAGGCCUUCGGGUUGUAAAGCCCUUUUGUUGGGAAAGAAAUCCAGCUGGCUAAUACCCGGUUGGGAUGACGGUACCCAAAGAAUAAGCACCGGCUAACUUCGUGCCAGCCGCCGCCGUAA